rnacentral:rRNA from 1 species
AACUCGGGUGAAGGAACUAGGCAACAUGGCACCGUAACUUCGGGAGAAGGUGCACCCUUUUUGGUGGCUCGUGCGAGCUAUAGCUGAAGAGGGUCGCAGAAACCAGGCCGCUGCGACUGUUUAUCAAAAACACAGCACUCUGCAAACACGAAAGUGGACGUAUAGGGUGUGACGCCUGCCCGGUGCUGGAAGGUUAAUUGAUGGGGUCAGCCGCAAGGCGAAGCUCUUGAUCGAAGCCCCAGUAAACGGCGGCCGUAACUAUAACGGUCCUAAGGUAGCGAAAUUCCUUGUCGGGUAAGUUCCGACCUGCACGAAUGGCGUAACGACAGCGGCGCUGUCUCCACCCGAGACUCAGUGAAAUUGAAAUCGCUGUGAAGAUGCAGCGUUCCCGUGGCAAGACGGAAAGACCCCGUGAACCUUUACUAUAGCUUUACACUGAACGUUGAGUUCGUCUGUGUAGGAUAGGUGGGAGGCUAUGAAACUGUGGCGCUAGCUGCAGUGGAGCCAUCCUUGAAAUACCACCCUGUCGUGCUUGACGUUCUAACCUAGGUCCGUUAUCCGGAUCAGGGACCGUGUAUGGUGGGUAGUUUGACUGGGGCGGUCUCCUCCUAAAGAGUAACGGAGGAGCACGAAGGUACGCUCAGCGCGGUCGGACAUCGCGCACUGUGUGCAAAGGCAUAAGCGUGCUUGACUGCAAGAUCGACGGAUCAAGCAGGUACGAAAGUAGGUCUUAGUGAUCCGG